GAUGAACGCUGGCGGCGUGCCUAAUACAUGCAAGUCGAGCGAACGGACGAGAAGCUUGCUUCUCUGAUGUUAGCGGCGGACGGGUGAGUAACACGUGGAUAACCUACCUAUAAGACUGGGAUAACUUCGGGAAACCGUAGCUAAUACCGGAUAAUAUUUUGAACCGCAUGGUUCAAAAGUGAAAGACGGUCUUGCUGUCACUUAUAGAUGGAUCCGCGCUGCAUUAGCUAGUUGGUAAGGUAACGGCUUACCAAGGCAACGAUGCAUAGCCGACCUGAGAGGGUGAUCGGCCACACUUGAACUGAGACACGGUCCAGACUCCUACGGGAGGCAGCAGUAGGGAAUCUUCCGCAAUGGGCGAAAGCCUGACGGAGCAACGCCGCGUGAGUGAUGAAGGUCUUCGGAUCGUAAAACUCUGUUAUUAGGGAAGAACAUAUGUGUAAGUAACUGUGCACAUCUUGACGGUACCUAAUCAGAAAGCCACGGCUAACUACGUGCCAGCAGCCGCGGUAAUACGUAGGUGGCAAGCGUUAUCCGGAAUUAUUGGGCGUAAAGCGCGCGUAGGCGGUUUUUUAAGUCUGAUGUGAAAGCCCACGGCUCAACCGUGAAGGGUCAUUGGAAACUGGAAAACUUGAGUGCAGAAGAGGAAAGUGGAAUUCCAUGUGUAGCGGUGAAAUGCGCAGAGAUAUGGAGGAACACCAGUGGCGAAGGCGACUUUCUGGUCUGUAACUGACGCUGAUGUGCGAAAGCGUGGGGAUCAAACAGGAUUAGAUACCCUGGUAGUCCACGCCGUAAACGAUGAGUGCUAAGUGUUAGGGGGUUUCCGCCCCUUAGUGCUGCAGCUAACGCAUUAAGCACUCCGCCUGGGGAGUACGACCGCAAGGUUGAAACUCAAAGGAAUUGACGGGGACCCGCACAAGCGGUGGAGCAUGUGGUUUAAUUCGAAGCAACGCGAAGAACCUUACCAAAUCUUGACAUCCUUUGACAACUCUAGAGAUAGAGCCUUCCCCUUCGGGGGACAAAGUGACAGGUGGUGCAUGGUUGUCGUUAGCUCGUGUCGUGAGAUGUUGGGUUAAGUCCCGCAACGAGCGCAACCCUUAAGCUUAGUUGCCAUCAUUAAGUUGGGCACUCUAAGUUGACUGCCGGUGACAAACCGGAGGAAGGUGGGGAUGACGUCAAAUCAUCAUGCCCCUUAUGAUUUGGGCUACACGCGUGCUACAAUGGACAAUACAAAGGGCAGCGAAACCGCGAGGUCAAGCAAAUCCCAUAAAGUUGUUCUCAGUUCGGAUUGUAGUCUGCAACUCGACUACAUGAAGCUGGAAUCGCUAGUAAUCGUAGAUCAGCAUGCUACGGUGAAUACGUUCCCGGGUCU
rnacentral:rRNA from 1 species